UACGUAGGGCGCAAGCGUUAUCCGGAAUUAUUGGGCGUACAGAGCUCGUAGGCGGUUUGUCGCGUCUGCUGUGAAAGACCGGGGCUCAACUCCGGUUCUGCAGUGGGUACGGGCAGACUAGAGUGCAGUAGGGGAGACUGGAAUUCCUGGUGUAGCGGUGAAAUGCGCAGAUAUCAGGAGGAACACCGAUGGCGAAGGCAGGUCGCUGGGCUGGAACUGACGCUGAGGAGCGAAAGCAUGGGGAGCGAACAGG
rnacentral:rRNA from 1 species